rnacentral:rRNA from 1 species
GAUGAACGCUGGCGGCGUGCCUAAUACAUGCAAGUCGAGCGAAUGGAUUAAGAGCUUGCUCUUAUGAAGUUAGCGGCGGACGGGUGAGUAACACGUGGGUAACCUGCCCAUAAGACUGGGAUAACUCCGGGAAACCGGGGCUAAUACCGGAUAACAUUUUGAACCGCAUGGUUCGAAAUUGAAAGGCGGCUUCGGCUGUCACUUAUGGAUGGACCCGCGUCGCAUUAGCUAGUUGGUGAGGUAACGGCUCACCAAGGCAACGACGCGUAGCCGACCUGAGAGGGUGAACGGCCACACUGGGACUGAGACACGGCCCAGACUCCUACGGGAGGCAGCAGUAGGGAAUCUUCCGCAAUGGACGAAAGUCUGACGGAGCAACGCCGCGUGAGUGAUGAAGGCUUUCGGGUCGUAAAACUCUGUUGUUAGGGAAGAACAAGUGCUAGUUGAAUAAGCUGGCACCUUGACGGUACCUAACCAGAAAGCCACGGCUAACUACGUGCCAGCCGCCGCCGUAA